rnacentral:rRNA from 1 species
GACGAACGCUGGCGGCGUGCUUAACACAUGCAAGUCGAACGGAGCGAAUGAAAGCUUGCUUUUAUAAGCUUAGUGGCAAACGGGUGAGUAACACGUAGACAACCUGCCGACAGGAUGGGGACAACAUUCCGAAAGGAAUGCUAAUACCGAAUGAAGCGGAGGAGAGGCAUCUCUCCUCCGUGAAAGAUGGCCUCUAUAUAUAAGCUAUCACCUGUCGAUGGGUCUGCGUCUGAUUAGCUGGUAGGUGAGGUAACGGCUCACCUAGGCGACGAUCAGUAGCCGGUCUGAGAGGAUGAACGGCCACAUUGGGACUGAGACACGGCCCAGACUCCUACGGGAGGCAGCAGUGGGGAAUCUUCCGCAAUGGGCGCAAGCCUGACGGAGCAACGCCGCGUGAGUGAAGAAGGUCUUCGGAUCGUAAAGCUCUGUUGAUGGGGACGAACGUGCCUAAUGCGAAUAGUUUUAGGUAAUGACGUACCCAUGAGGAGCCACGCA